GACGAACGCUGGCGGCGUGCCUAAUACAUGCAAGUAGGACGCAGUUGCGAACGGGUGAGUAACGCGUAGGUAACUACCUAUUAGAAGGGGAUAACUAUUGGAAACGAUCGCUAAUACCGCAUACUAGUAGAUGGACCUGUGUUGUAUUAGCUAGUAGGUAGGGUAAUGGCCUACCUAGUCAACGAUACAUAGCCGACCUGAGUGGGGGAUCGGCCAAAAUGGGACUGAGGCACGGCGCAGGCUCCUACGGGAGGCAGCAGUAGGGAAUCUUCGGCAAUGGGGGGAACGCUGACCGAGCAACGCCGCGUGAGUGAAGAAGGUUUUCGGAUCGUAAAGCUCUGUUGUUAAGGAAGCGGUACUUAACCAGAAAGGGACGGCUAACUACGUGCCAGCCGCCGCGGUAAUAC
rnacentral:rRNA from 1 species